AUUGAACGCUGGCGGCAGGCCUAACACAUGCAAGUCGAGCGGAUGAAGGGAGCUUGCUCCUGGAUUCAGCGGCGGACGGGUGAGUAAUGCCUAGGAAUCUGCCUGGUAGUGGGGGAUAACGUCCGGAAACGGGCGAUAAUACCGCAUACGUCCUGAGGGAGAAAGUGGGGGAUCUUCGGACCUUACGCUAUCAGAUGAGCCUAGGUCGGAUUAGCUAGUUGGUGGGGUAAAGGCCUACCAAGGCGACGAGCCGUAACUGGUCUGAGAGGAUGAUCAGUCACACUGGAACUGAGACACGGUCCAGACUCCUACGGGAGGCAGCAGUGGGGAAUAUUGGACAAUGGGCGAAAGCCUGAUCCAGCCAUGCCGCGUGUGUGAAGAAGGUCUUCGGAUUGUAAAGCACUUUAAGUUGGGAGGAAGGGCAGUAAGUUAAUACCUUGCUGUUUUGACGUUACCAACAGAAUAAGCACCGGCUAACUUCGUG
rnacentral:rRNA from 1 species